UACGGAGGGAGCUAGCGUUGUUCGGAAAUACUGGGCGUAAAGGGCUCGUAGGCGGCCAACUAAGUCAGACGUGAAAUCCCUCAGCUUAACUGGGGAACUGCGUCUGAUACUGGAUGGCUUGGAUUCGGGAGAGGAAUGCGGAAUUCCAGGUGUAGCGGUGAAAUGCGUAGAUAUCUGGAGGAACACCGGUGGCGAAGGCGGCAUUCUGGACCGAUAUUGACGCUGAGGAGCGAAAGCCAGGGGAGCAAACGGG
rnacentral:rRNA from 1 species